AUGGAUUCAGUUAAGGUUUGGGGGUGUCAAAAUGCCACUAAGCAAUCUCCGUCGAGAAAGCCGCUUGUCUCCCUGAUGAUGCUUAUCUCCUGGGAAAUAUGGAAGGAGUGAAACGCUAGAGUUUUCCGCCACAGGGCCGUCCCGGUGGGAGUGUUGGUCGCCAGGAUAAAAGAGGAAUGCUCGCUUUGGUGCCUUGCGGGAGCAAAACAUUUGUGUAACAUUAUGCCGUGAGAGUGA
rnacentral:rRNA from 1 species